rnacentral:tRNA from 1 species
GGGGUUGUAGCUCAGUGGUAGAGCGCUUGCCUAGCAUGUGCAAGGCCCUGGGUUCGAUCCUCAGCACCA